rnacentral:rRNA from 1 species
CUCGUAGGCGGUCUGUCGCGUCGGGAGUGAAAACACGGGGCUUAACCCCGUGCCUGCUUCCGAUACGGGCUGACUAGAGGUAUGCAGGGGAGAACGGAAUUCCUGGUGUAGCGGUGAAAUGCGCAGAUAUCAGGAGGAACACCGGUGGCGAAGGCGGUUCUCUGGGCAUUACCUGACGCUGAGGAGCGAAAGUGUGGGGAGCGAACA